GGCGAUGCCUUUCAAACUCAUGGGCAGGCGUUCUUCGAAUAAACACCACGAUAGAUAGAUAUUCAAUGUAAUCAUGUGGUGUAAAUAAAUAAAGCAUUAAUGGAAUAUGUCAUUGGCUAUAUGAACCGAUGGGUUAAGAUAGAAGUUGUAAUAUGCCAAAAAUUUGAAAUAUUAAUAUGAAUGUAAAAUUUCCAAAAUUCAAAAACCUUUGUGUUUGAAUGUGUGCAAGUUUAAAAACCAAGAUAUCUUUCUCCUAAAUUCUCAUUUCAACUAUGUGUGGCUUGAUUUGGAGUUUAUGGUUUUAUUUGGAGUUCAUGAUUGAGUGAAGUUUGAGUUCAAAUUCAAAUUCAAUUCAAACCUAAACCUAAAAUGAAAAACAAAACCUUACAUUACCUUCCCUGGCCGGCCCACCUGGCCAAACUAGCCCGCCCGCGCCACCAGGUUACCAGGCCGCCUCCAGCCCAAGCAGCAGCCGGCCUAUCCGCCCUUUCUUUCUUGACCGCAGGCCACCAACUACCUUUUCCCUUCAGCCCAGCUUGCAUAGUAGCCCAGCUAGCCGGCCCAGCCAGCCCGACGCUAUGCAUCUUCCUCCUCUUGCAUGGAUGCAGUGCAUGCGC
rnacentral:lncRNA from 1 species